rnacentral:rRNA from 1 species
CCUACGGGAGGCAGCAGUGAGGAAUAUUGGUCAAUGGACGAGAGUCUGAACCAGCCAAGUAGCGUGAAGGAUGACUGCCCUAUGGGUUGUAAACUUCUUUUAUCAAGGAAUAAAACGAGGCACGUGUGCCUUUUUGCAUGUACUUUAUGAAUAAGGAUCGGCUAACUCCGGGCCAGCCGCCGCGGUAAUACGGAGGAUACGAGCGUUAUCCGGGUUUAUUGGGUUUAAAGGGAGCGUAGAUGGGUUGUUAAGUCAGUUGUGAAAGUUUGCGGCUCAACCGUAAAAUUGCAAUUGAUACUGGCAGUCUUGAGUACAGUUGAGGUAGGCGGAAUGCGUGGUGUAGCGGUGAAAUGCUUAGAUAUCACGAAGAACCCCGAUUGCGAAGGCAGCUUACUAACCUGUGACUGACAUUGAUGUUCGAAAGUGUGGGUAUCAAACAGGAUUAGAUACCCGAGUAGUC